GGCUGGGGCUCAGAGGUAGAGCACUUGCCUUGCAUGUGUGAGGCACUGGGUUCAAUCCUCAGCACCA
rnacentral:tRNA from 1 species